GGCGGACGGGUGAGUAACGCGUAAGGAACUUGCCUCUUGGUCUGGGACAACUGUUGGAAACGACAGCUAAUACCGGAUAUUAUGAGAUUCUCGCAUGGGAAACUUAUGAAAGCUAUAUGCGCCAAGAGAGAGCCUUGCGUUCCAUUAGCUAGUUGGUGGGGUAACGGCCCACCAAGGCGACGAUGGAUAGCCGGCCUGAGAGGGUGAACGGCCACAAGGGGACUGAGACACGGCCCUUACUCCUACGGGAGGCAGCAGUGGGGAAUAUUGGACAAUGGGCCACAAGCCUGAUCCAGCAAUUCUGUGUGCACGAUGAAGGUCUUCGGAUUGUAAAGUGCUUUCAGUUGGGAAGAAGAAAGUGACGGUACCAACAGAAGAAGCGACGGCUAAAUACGUGCCAGCAGCCGCGGUAAUACGUAUGUCGCAAGCGUUAUCCGGAUUUAUUGGGCGUAAAGCGCGUCUAGGCGGAAAAAUAAGUCUGAUGUUAAAAUGCGGGGCUCAACUCCGUAUUGCGUUGGAAACUGUUUUUCUAGAGUACUGGAGAGGUGGGCGGAACUACAAGUGUAGAGGUGAAAUUCGUAGAUAUUUGUAGGAAUGCCGAUGGAGAAGUCAGCUCACUGGACAGAUACUGACGCUAAAGCGCGAAAGCGUGGGGAGCAAACAGG
rnacentral:rRNA from 1 species